UGGGCUGUGGCUCCGUGGAAGAGUGCUCGCCUCACAUGUGUGAGGCCCUGGGUUCAAUUCUCAGCACUGCAU
rfam:Ictidomys tridecemlineatus contig030327, whole genome shotgun sequence.